GAUGAACGCUAGCUACAGGCUUAACACAUGCAAGUCGAGGGGCAGCAUGGUCUUAGCUUGCUAAGACUGAUGGCGACCGGCGCACGGGUGAGUAACACGUAUCCAACCUGCCGUCUACUCUUGGACAGCCUUCUGAAAGGAAGAUUAAUACAAGAUGGCAUCAUGAGUCCGCAUGUUCACAUGAUUAAAGGUAUUCCGGUAGACGAUGGGGAUGCGGCGCAUUAGCUAGUUGGCGGGGCAACGGCCCACCAAGGCGACGAUGCGUAGGGGUUCUGAGAGGAAGGUCCCCCACACUGGUACUGAGACACGGACCAG
rnacentral:rRNA from 1 species